rnacentral:rRNA from 1 species
CCAGCCAAGUAGCGUGAAGGAUGACUGCCCUAUGGGUUGUAAACUUCUUUUAUAAAGGAAUAAAGUCGGGUAUGCAUACCCGUUUGCAUGUACUUUAUGAAUAAGGAUCGGCUAACUCCGUGCCAGCAGCCGCGGUAAUACGGAGGAUCCGAGCGUUAUCCGGAUUUAUUGGGUUUAAAGGGAGCGUAGAUGGAUGUUUAAGUCAGUUGUGAAAGUUUGCGGCUCAACCGUAAAAUUGCAGUUGAUACUGGAUAUCUUGAGUGCAGUUGAGGCAGGCGGAAUUCGUGGUGUAGCGGUGAAAUGCUUAGAUAUCACGAAGAACUCCGAUUGCGAAGGCAGCCUGCUAAGCUGCAACUGACAUUGAGGCUCGAAAGUGUGGGUAUCAAACAGGAUUAGAUACCCUGGUAGUCCACACGGUAAACGAUGAAUACUCGCUGUUUGCGAUAUACGGCAAGCGGCCAAGCGAAAGCGUUAAGUAUUCCACCUGGGGAGUACGCCGGCAACGGUGCAACUAAA